rnacentral:tRNA from 1 species
GGUAAUAAAGCUCAGUGGUAGAGCGCAUGCUUAGCAUCUGUGGGAUCCUGGGUUCAAUCCUCAGUACCUCCA